GGAGGAAAAGAAACCAACAGGGAUUGCCUUAGUAGCGGCGAGUGAAGCGGCAAAAGCUCAAAUUUGAAAUCUGGCACCUUCGGUGUCCGAGUUGUAAUUUGAAGAUUGUAACCUUGGGGUUGGCUCUUGUCUAUGUUUCUUGGAACAGGACGUCACAGAGGGUGAGAAUCCCGUGCGAUGAGAUGCCCAAUCCUAUGUAAGGUGCUUUCGAAGAGUCGAGUUGUUUGGGAAUGCAGCUCUAAGUGGGUGGUAAAUUCCAUCUAAAGCUAAAUAUUGGCGAGAGACCGAUAGCGAACAAGUACAGUGAUGGAAAGAUGAAAAGAACUUUGAAAAGAGAGUGAAAAAGUACGUGAAAUUGUUGAAAGGGAAGGGUUUGAGAUCAGACUCGAUAUUUUGUGAGCCUUGCCUUCGUGGCGGGGUGACCCGCAGCUUAUCGGGCCAGCAUCGGUUUGGGCGGUAGGAUAAUGGCGUAGGAAUGUGACUUUGCUUCGGUGAAGUGUUAUAGCCUGCGUUGAUGCUGCCUGCCUAGACCGAGGACUGCGAUUUUAUCAAGGAUGCUGGCAUAAUGAUCCCAAACCGCCCGUCUUG
rnacentral:rRNA from 1 species